rnacentral:rRNA from 1 species
AUUGAACGCUGGCGGCAUGCUUUACACAUGCAAGUCGAACGGCAGCGCGGGCUUCGGCCUGGCGGCGAGUGGCGAACGGGUGAGUAAUACAUCGGAACGUGCCCAGUAGUGGGGUAUAGCUCGGCGAAAGCCGGAUUAAUACCGCAUACGACCUGAGGGUGAAAGCGGGGGAUCUUCGGACCUCGCGCUAUUGGAGCGGCCGAUGGCAGAUUAGCUAGUUGGUGGGGUAAAGGCCUACCAAGGCGACGAUCUGUAGCUGGUCUGAGAGGACGACCAGCCACACUGGGACUGAGACACGGCCCAGACUCCUACGGGAGGCAGCAGUGGGGAAUUUUGGACAAUGGGCGAAAGCCUGAUCCAGCAAUGCCGCGUGUGUGAUGAAGGCCUUCGGGUUGUAAAGCACUUUUGGCGGGAACGAAAAGGACUGUGCCAAUACCACGGUUCGAUGACGGUACCCGCAGAAUAAGCACCGGCUAACUACGUG